GGCGCUGUGGCUCAGUGGUAGAGCGCUAGCCUUGAGCUGAAGAGCUGAGGGACAGCGCCC
rfam:Dipodomys ordii contig_62279, whole genome shotgun sequence.